rnacentral:rRNA from 1 species
GAUGAACGCUGGCGGCGUGCCUAAUACAUGCAAGUCGAGCGAACAGACGAGGAGCUUGCUCCUCUGACGUUAGCGGCGGGCGGGUGAGUAACACGUGGAUAACCUACCUAUAAGACUGGGAUAACUUCGGGAAACCGGAGCUAAUACCGGAUAAUAUAUUGAACCGCAUGGUUCAAUAGUGAAAGACGGUUUUGCUGUCACUUAUAGAUGGAUCCGCGCCGCAUUAGCUAGUUGGUAAGGUAACAGCUUACCAAGGCAACGAUGCGUAGCCGACCUGAGAGGGUGAUCGGCCACACUGGAACUGAGACACGGUCCAGACUCCUACGGGAGGCAGCAGUAGGGAAUCUUCCGCAAUGGGCGAAAGCCUGACGGAGCAACGCCGCGUGAGUGAUGAAGGUCUUCGGAUCGUAAAACUCUGUUAUUAGGGAAGAACAAAUGUGUAAGUAACUAUGCACGUCUUGACGGUACCUAAUCAGAAAGCCACGGCUAACUACGUG